rnacentral:lncRNA from 1 species
CUUCCCCUUUUCCCCUGCUCUCCCUUGUUUCUCCUUCUCUUUCGGCCGCAAACCCUUUUGCCCACCGCCGCUCAUCGCCCUCUUCACUCGACCAUCGUUCCCACCUAUCCCAUAGUCGAUGGAGACCCUCCACCACUUAUUCGGGGAAGUUUCAUUGUUCUCUUUAUUUUAUUUGCUCUAUUACCUCCAUUGAGAACAAUGUCGGAUUUAGGUGUGGAGGGGACAACUGUGGUACUAGUAUUUCUAGUUUUUAGUUUUUAGAGGUUUUUCCUCUAUUUUUCUUUCUUUGUUAUUUGUUCUAUUUUUCAUUAAUUUUUUUUUUACUUUUAUUAGUGAUUGGCUCUUCUGUGACUACUAAGGUUUGAUAAUAGUUGUUGACUCUAAUUCUACUAUUGUCAAAUUUUAGUAAUAAAAGUAUAUCAAGUUAAUUUGGUUGAAUCCAAAAAUAUCUCUUUGGUGAAUAUCGAUAAUUUUGUGUCUCUUAUAAUUUUUGGUUAACUUUUCUAGGCAUAGGGAAUAACUGGUUGGCACUUUUAUGUGAGUUGGUCCAAUUAUUAACUUUAGUUCUCCAUGUUUGAAGAAAUGAGGCUAGUUGCUGCUGUUUUAUGUGAUAGUUUGAGUUAUGUUGCCUGGCUGUGAUUAAAAGUUGGUUGUACUCCGCUAGUUAUUACUGCUGAAUAACCGGGGAUUUUCACCAAAAGUGUUGAUUCUCGCAUCAAAAAGUGAUAAUUUCUAUGAGUACGUGGUCAUGUACCGAUGGGAGUUGAGUAACCGGGUUCCUUCAUCUGACAAAUGUUGGAGUUCGCAUCAAAAGGUUCUAAUGGCUAGAGACUAAAUCUAUUAUUACUAUUGAAAAGAAAAAAAAAGAAAAAAAUAGAAAAGCGUGAUAAAAAGGUGUGAAAGUUGUAUAGAUAUGUGCUUAAAGUCAAUUUGCCGAUCUAUAGAUUCAAUGUUGAGAUUUUGGUUAAUAGUUGGACCAUUUGCUGAUAAAUGCUGAUCUACCAUUCUUUUUUCUUAGAAUAGUUAGCCAUAAAUUGGAGGAGUCUACGGUUUAGAAGCUAACCAGGGAGAUUUUUUUGGAUUUUAACCAUUGAUGCUUGAUAUGUGUUUUUCAUGAUAUCUUGGCAAUAAAGUAGAUGGAGCAAUAGCCAUUAUCAGGAAUUGGAGUUUGUUGGCUAUUCUCAUGCUUGAGGACAAGCAUGAUUUAGGUGUGGGGGGAAUUGAUAAGUCGCAAUUUUAUCAUUUAUUUUAUAAUUAAUUUCCUCCUAUUAUAUUACCACGUGUGCAUUAAUUGACGGAUUCUACUCACUUUUGAAAAUUUGUAUUAAUUGCAGGGAGUUGGGAUAAAAUAUUGUAAAAAGGCACAAACAAGGCGUAAACAAGGGAAUUUGAGUAGCAGUUAACAAGAUGGAGACUAAUUCAAUUCAGUUUCCUUAUCUAUUAGAGAAUAUGCGUCAGACUUGGAGUAAAAGGAGGACACUUCCUUUCUUUUGGUAGUUUCCAAAGAAGGAGGAAGUCAAAAAAGACUAGAACUUCCUUUGUUUUUCUUUGGCUGGCAGCCGUAUGAGGUUAGACAGCUAGGUAGAUAGGAAUUAGAUAGGAGAAUAGUAGACCAUCUUUAUUACUUUGACUUUUUGACUUUUCGUCUUAUUCGGACUAUUGUUCUUAUUCCAUCGUUUUUGUUUAUCUCAAUGGGAGACAAUGGAUGCGCCAAUUUUCUCUACAAA